UACGUAGGGGGCAAGCGUUGUCCGGAUUUAUUGGGCGUAAAGCGCGUGUAGGCGGCCAGAUAGGUCUGCUGUGAAAACUCGAGGCUCAACCUCGAGCUGUCGGCGGAAACCAUCUGGCUAGAGUCCGGAAGAGGAGAGUGGGAUUCCUGGUGUAGCGGUGAAAUGCGCAGAUAUCAGGAAGAACACCUAUGGCGAAGGCAGCUCUCUGGGACGGUACUGACGCUGAGGCACGAAAGCGUGGGGAGCGAACAGG
rnacentral:rRNA from 1 species